GACGACUUGUUAUAUUUUUAUAUUGUGAAAAUAUUACCACUAUGAAAUUAACAUAUCCAUCACCUGUCUCCAUUAAGUGUGAGAACAAUUAAGAUUUACUAUCUUAGCAAAUUUAAAAUACACCAUACAGUAUUAUUAACUAAAGUUACCAUGCUAUACAUUAGAUCUGCGGAACUUAUUCAUCUUAUAACUGAAAGUUUGUACUUUAGAAAAACAUGUCCCUAUUUACUCCAUUCAACAGCCCUGAGAAAACAUCAUUCUCCCAUUUCUGUGUGUUUCACAUUUUUUUGAUUUCACAUAUGUGACAUCAUACAGCACUUCUUUUUCUUGGUCUGGCUUAUUUUACUUAGCAUUGUGCCCUCCAGAUUCAUCCAUGUUUUUGCAAAAGGCAUGUUAUUCUAUGGUGUGUGUGUGUGUGUGUAAGUGUAUAUAUAUAUAUACUUUAUAUUUUCUUUAUCUAUUCAUCCAUCAAGGGACAAUUAGGGAGUUUCCAGAUAUGGCUAUUUUGAAUUAUGCUUCAAUGAACAUGGGAUAGCAGAUAUCUCUUCAGGAUACUGAUUUCAUUUCCUAUGAAUAUAUACCAGGUAGUGGGAUUACUGGUGGAUAUAUUUUAAAUUUGUCUAGGAAAUUCCAUACUGCGUUCCAUAAUAGCUGUACCAUUUUACAUUUCCACCAGGAAUGUAUGACAAUUUCCUUUUCUCAACAUCCUUACCAACACUUCUUAUUUUUUAAUGUUUUUGAUAAUAGUCAUCCUAAGAGGUGUGAGGUAAUAUCUUAUUGUGCUUUUGAUAUGCAUUACCCUAGUAAUUAUUGAUGUUGAGAAUCUGUUCAUGUGCUUGUUGGACAUUUGUAUGUUUCUUUGGGAUAAUGUCUAUUCAGGUCCUUUGCUAAUUUUCUUUUCUUUUUAUUUUUUGGUGAGGGAGAUUGUCCCUGGGCCAACAUCUGUGCCAAUCUUCCGCUAUUUUUUAUGUGGGACACUGCCAAAGCAUGGCUUGAUGAGUGAUGCAUAGGUCCACACCUGAGACACAAACCUGUAAACACUGGGCUUCUGAAGCAGAGCAUGUGAACUUACCCACUACACCACCGUGCUGGCCCCCCUUUGCUCAUUUUUUGAUUGGGUUGUUUGUUUUUUUCUAUUGAAUUGUAUGAUUUUUAUAUUUGAAUAUUAACUUUUCAUCAGAUAUAUGAUUUGCAAAUAUUUUACCCUAACCCAUAGGUUUCCUUUCCAUUUUUGUCAUUUUUUCCUUUUCUGUGCAAAGAAAAUUAGUUUCAUGCAGUCCCAUUUGUAUAUUUUUGUGUUUGUUGCCUGUGAUGUUGGUGUUAUAUCCAGGAAAACAUCAAGACCAAUGUCAAGGAAAAUUUUCCCUAUUUUAUAAUAGAUUUAUGGUUUCAGGUCUUAUGUGAAGGAGACCUGGCAUGAAAUGUGGUUGUGCUUGCACGCGAGGCAUCCACAAGACUGGCUGGACUUUUCUGCAAACAGAAUGUUCUGCCUGGUGAACUCACAAGGCCCCAGGGAAAACAUUGCUUGCAAACAAGGAUGUUUUAUCAGUUCCUCAAAAGGAACAAGCCUGGGGCCUUGGGAGUUUGAAACAUUAUGAAGGAACCUGUUAUAAACAGAUGUGUAAGGGAAAGGUCAUUAUUGUGGGAUGCUUGCACAGGCUUAGGUGGCUGACUCACUGCUUUGGCAAAAGGCCGGCUUUGUUUAGAGGCUAUAAGAAUAAAGAGCUCGAGGAACUCGAGGAGACUACACAGCAACCAGUGUUCGUGUUUUCAUUUUGUUGGCGGCAUCUGGCACCCAACGUGGGGCCCAACGAAACUGAAAGAGUAAGCACCCUGGAAAAGUGAAAGGGGGACUUUCAGGAAUAGGUAAAUCUCGAUGCAGGGCUCGACGAGACCGAAAGGUCUUCCGGCGCUGGAGAAAGCAACAACAACUAAAAAGGAUCGUUAAGACCGUUGCGCAUGCUGUCCGUCACAAUGCUAACAAAAGAGGGGGAGAUGAAGGAGACCUGGCAUGAAAUGUGGUUGUGCUUGCACGCGAGGCAUCCACAAGACUGGCUGGACUUUUCUGCAAACAGAAUGUUCUGCCUGGUGAACUCACAAGGCCCCAGGGAAAACAUUGCUUGCAAACAAGGAUGUUUUAUCAGUUCCUCAAAAGGAACAAGCCUGGGGCCUUGGGAGUUUGAAACAUUAUGAAGGAACCUGUUAUAAACAGAUGUGUAAGGGAAAGGUCAUUAUUGUGGGAUGCUUGCACAGGCUUAGGUGGCUGACUCACUGCUUUGGCAAAAGGCUGGCUUUGUUUAGAGGCUAUAAGAAUAAAGAGCUCGAGGAACUCGAGGAGACUACACAGCAACCAAUGUUCGUGUUUUCAUUUUGUCGGCAGCACUUAUGUUUAACUUUUUAAUGUUUUGAGCUAAUUUUUUUUGGGGGGGUGAGGAAGAUCAGCCCUGAGCUAACGUGUUGUUCAUCUUCCUAUUAUUGCUUGAGGAAGAUUGUUGCUGAGCUAACAUCUGUGCCAAUCUUCCUCUAUUUUGUAUGUGAGAUGCUGCCACAGCAUGGCCAGAUGAGCAGUAUUUAUAUCCAUGCCUUGGAUCCAAACCAAUGAACCCCAGGCCACUGAAGUGGAGCACAUGAACUUAAACCACUAUGCCACAUGGCCAGCCCCUUGAGCUAAUUUUUUGAGUGCUGUAAUAUAAGAAACAAAUUUCUUUAGCAUGUGGCUAUCCAAUUUUCCCAGCACUAUUUAUUGAAGUGUGAAGGAAGGAUCUUUUACCUCUUGUGUAUUCUUGGCAUUUUUGCUGGAAUUUAGUUCACUAUAUAUGCCUGAAAUUAUCUCUAGGCUUUCUAUUCUGUCACAUAGGUUUAUAUGUUCAGUUUAAUGCCAUUACCUUACUAUUUUGAUCAUUAUACUUUUGUAGUAUAGUUUGAAUUCAGGAAGUGUGUUGCCUCCAGCUUUAUUAUUUAUGAAUAUUACUUUGGCUAUUCAAGGUCUUUUGUGAUUCUAUAAGAAAUUUAGAAUAUUUUUAAAUUUCUGUGAAAGAUGCCAUUGAAUUUCUUUUUAUAUUUUUAUUGAGGUUAUGAUAGUAUACAACAUUGUGAAAUUUCAGUUGUACAUUAUUAUUUGUCAUUCAUCUUAGAGGUGUUCCCUUCACCUUUUGUGUCCACACCCCAACCCCCUUCUCCAUGGAAACUACUAAUCUGUCUCUUUGACCAUGUGUUUAUCAUCCACAUAUGAGUGGAAUCAUACAGAGCUUGUCUUUCUCCAUCUGGCUUAUUUUGCUUAUAAUACCCUCAAGGUCCAUUCCUGUUGUUGUGAAUGGGACAAUUUUAUCAUUUUUCAUGGCUGAGUAGUAUUCCACUGUAUAUAUAUACCAUAUCUUCUUUAUCCAGUCAUCAGUUUAUGGGCUUAGGUUGCCUGCAGGUCUUGGCUAUUGUGAAUAAUGCUGCAAUGAACACAGGGGUACAUGAGUCUUUUUGAAAUGCUGAUUUGAAGUUCUUUGCAUAGAUAUCCAGUAGUGAGAUGGCUGGGUCAUAUAGUAUUUCUAUUUUUAAUUUUUUGAGAAAUCUCCAUACUGUUUUCAAUAGUGGUUCCACCAGUUUGCAUUCCUACCAGCAGUGUAUGAGGAUUCCUUUCCUCCACAAACUCUCCAAUAUUUGCUAUUUUUUGUCUUCAUUAUUGUAGCCAUUCUAACAGGUGUAAAGUGAUAUCUUAGUGUAGUUUUGAUUUGCAUUUCCCUGAUAAUCAGUGAUGAUGAGCAUCUUUUCAUGUGCCUAUUGGCCAUCCAUAUAUCUUCUUUGGAGAAAUGUCUAUUCAUAUCACCUUCCCAUUUUUUUGGAUUGGGUUGUUUGAUUUUUGUUGUUGAGUUGUGUGAGUUCUUUAUAUAUUAUGGAGAUUAACCCUUUGUCAAAUAGAUGAUUUGAAAAUAUUUUUCCCAGUUGGUGGGUUGUCUUUUCAUUUCAAUCCUAUUUUCCUUUGCCUUGUAGAAGCUUUUUAGUCUAAUGAAGUCACACUUGUUUAUUCUUUCUAUUGUUUCCCCUGUCUAAGGAGACAUGGUGUCUGAAAAGAUCCUUUUAAGACUGAUGUCAAAGAGUAUAUUGCCUAUGUUUUCUUCUAGAAGUCUUAUGGUUUAAGGUAUUACCUUUAAGUCUUUGAUCCAUUUUGAGUUUGUUUUUUUGAAUGGCAUAAGAGAAUGGUCUACUUUCAUUCUUUACAUGUGGCUGUCCAGUUUUCCCAACAUCAUUUGUUGAAGAGACUUUUCUUUCUCCAUAGUAUGUUCUCAGCUCCUUUGUUCCCCUUUAAUCCUUUAAUGCUUCCUCUCUGGUAACCACUAAUCUAUUCUCUUUGUCCAUCUUAUAGUUUCUCUUCUACACAUGAGUGAAAUCAUAUGGUGUUUGUCUUUCUUUGUCUGGCUUAUUUUGCUUGACAUAAUAUUUUCAAGGUCUGUCCAUGUUGUUGUGAAUGAGACAAUUUUGUCUUUUUUAUGGCUGAGUAGUAUUCCAUUAUAUAUAUAUAUGUAUAUAUAUAUACACACACACACACAUCUUCGUUAUCCAUUUUUCAGUGAAUGGGCACUUGGGUUGCUUCCACAUCUUGGUUAUUUUGAGUAAUGCUGCAAUGAAGAUAGGGGUGUAAAAGUCUCUCUGAUUGAUUUAGAGUUCUUUGGAUAAAUACCCAGUAGGGGGCUAGCUGGGUCAUAUGGUAUUUCUAUUUUUAACUUUUUGAGAAAUCUCUGUACUGUUUUCCAUAAUGGCUGGACCAGUUUGCAUUCUCACCAGCAGUGUUUGAGGGUUCUCUUUUCUCCACAUCCUCUCCAACAUUUGUUAUUUUUUUCUUGGUGAUUAUAGCCAUUUUAAGGGUUGUAAGGUGAGAUCUCAGGGUAGUUUUGAUUUGCAUUUCCCUGAUGGUUAGUGAUGUUGAACAUUUUUUCAUGUGGCUAUUGGCCAUUUGUAUAUCUUCUUUGGAAAAUAUCUGUUCAUAUCCUCUGC
rnacentral:lncRNA from 1 species